rnacentral:rRNA from 1 species
CGCUGGCGGCGUGCUUAACACAUGCAAGUCGAACGGUGAAGCCCAGCUUGCUGGGUGGAUCAGUGGCGAACGGGUGAGUAACACGUGAGCAACCUGCCCCUGACUCUGGGAUAAGCGCUGGAAACGGCGUCUAAUACUGGAUACGAGUAGCGACCGCAUGGUCAGUUACUGGAAAGAUUUAUCGGUUGGGGAUGGGCUCGCGGCCUAUCAGCUUGUUGGUGAGGUAAUGGCUCACCAAGGCGUCGACGGGUAGCCGGCCUGAGAGGGUGACCGGCCACACUGGGACUGAGACACGGCCCAGACUCCUACGGGAGGCAGCAGUGGGGAAUAUUGCACAAUGGGCGCAAGCCUGAUGCAGCAACGCCGCGUGAGGGAUGACGGCCUUCGGGUUGUAAACCUCUUUUAGCAGGGAAGAAGCGAAAGUGACGGUACCUGCAGAAAAAGCGCCGGCUAACUACGUGCCAGCAGCCGCGGUAAUACGUAGGGCGCAAGCGUUAUCCGGAAUUAUUGGGCGUAAAGAGCUCGUAGGCGGUUUGUCGCGUCUGCUGUGAAAUCCGGAGGCUCAACCUCCGGCCUGCAGUGGGUACGGGCAGACUAGAGUGCGGUAGGGGAGAUUGGAAUUCCUGGUGUAGCGGUGGAAUGCGCAGAUAUCAGGAGGAACACCGAUGGCGAAGGCAGAUCUCUGGGCCGUAACUGACGCUGAGGAGCGAAAGGGUGGGGAGCAAACAGGCUUAGAUACCCUGGUAGUCCACCCCGUAAACGUUGGGAACUAGUUGUGGGGUCCAUUCCACGGAUUCCGUGACGCAGCUAACGCAUUAAGUUCCCCGCCUGGGGAGUACGGCCGCAAGGCUAAAACUCAAAGGAAUUGACGGGGACCCGCACAAGCGGCGGAGCAUGCGGAUUAAUUCGAUGCAACGCGAAGAACCUUACCAAGGCUUGACAUAUACGAGAACGGGCCAGAAAUGGUCAACUCUUUGGACACUCGUAAACAGGUGGUG